UGUAAACGAAGUCGAUUGGGAGUCUGUUGCCUAGAGUGAUGCGCUCCGAAGCUAACGCGAUAAAUCGUCCGCGUGGGGGGUACGGCCGCAAGGUUAAAACUCUAAUGAAUUGACGGGGGCCCGCACAAGCGGUGGAGCAUGUGGUUUAAUUCGAUGCAACGCGAAGGACCUUACCUGGUCUUGACAUCCAUAGAAUUCUGCAGAGAUGUGGGAGUGCCUUCGGGAACUAUGAGACAGGUGCUGCAUGGCUGUCGUCAGCUCGUGUUGUGAAAUGUUGGGUUAAGUCCCGCAACGAGCGCAACCCUUAUUCUUUGUUGCCAGCGAUUUGGUCGGGAACUCAAAGGAGACUGCCGUUGAUAAAGCGGAGGAAGGUGGGGACGACGUCAAGUCAUCAUGGCCCUUACGACCAGGGCUACACACGUGCUACAAUGGCGUAUACAAAGGGAAGCGAAGGUGCGAGCUGGAGCGGAUCUCAUAAAGUACGUCUAAGUUCGGAUUGGAGUCUGCAACUCGACUCCAUGAAGUCGGAAUCGCUAGUAAUCGUAGAUCAGAAUGCUACGGUGAAUACGUUCCCGGGCCUUGUACACACCGCCCGUCACACCAUGGGAGUGGGUUGCACCAGAAGUAGAUAGCUUAACCGCGAGGGGGGCGUUUACCACGGUGUGAUUCAUGACUGGGGUGAAGUCGUAACAAGGUAACCA
rnacentral:rRNA from 1 species